rnacentral:rRNA from 1 species
GGGUUGUGAGGUUAAGCGACUAAGCGUACACGGUGGAUGCCCUGGCAGUCAGAGGCGAUGAAGGACGUGCUAAUCUGCGAUAAGCGUCGGUAAGGUGAUAUGAACCGUUAUAACCGGCGAUUUCCGAAUGGGGAAACCCAGUGUGUUUCGACACACUAUCAUUAACUGAAUCCAUAGGUUAAUGAGGCGAACCGGGGGAACUGAAACAUCUAAGUACCCCGAGGAAAAGAAAUCAACCGAGAUUCCCCCAGUAGCGGCGAGCGAACGGGGAGCAGCCCAGAGCCUGAAUCAGUGUGUGUGUUAGUGGAAGCGUCUGGAAAGGCGCGCGAUACAGGGUGACAGCCCCGUACACAAAAAUGCACAUGCUGUGAGCUCGAUGAGUAGGGCGGGACACGUGGUAUCCUGUCUGAAUAUGGGGGGACCAUCCUCCAAGGCUAAAUACUCCUGACUGACCGAUAGUGAACCAGUACCGUGAGGGAAAGGCGAAAAGAACCCCGGCGAGGGGAGUGAAAAAGAACCUGAAACCGUGUACGUACAAGCAGUGGGAGCACGCUUAGGCGUGUGACUGCGUACCUUUUGUAUAAUGGGUCAGCGACUUAUAUUCUGUAGCAAGGUUAACCGAAUAGGGGAGCCGAAGGGAAACCGAGUCUUAACUGGGCGUUAAGUUGCAGGGUAUAGACCCGAAACCCGGUGAUCUAGCCAUGGGCAGGUUGAAGGUUGGGUAACACUAACUGGAGGACCGAACCGACUAAUGUUGAAAAAUUAGCGGAUGACUUGUGGCUGGGGGUGAAAGGCCAAUCAAACCGGGAGAUAGCUGGUUCUCCCCGAAAGCUAUUUAGGUAGCGCCUCGUGAAUUCAUCUCCGGGGGUAGAGCACUGUUUCGGCAAGGGGGUCAUCCCGACUUACCAACCCGAUGCAAACUGCGAAUACCGGAGAAUGUUAUCACGGGAGACACACGGCGGGUGCUAACGUCCGUCGUGAAGAGGGAAACAACCCAGACCGCCAGCUAAGGUCCCAAAGUCAUGGUUAAGUGGGAAACGAUGUGGGAAGGCCCAGACAGCCAGGAUGUUGGCUUAGAAGCAGCCAUCAUUUAAAGAAAGCGUAAUAGCUCACUGGUCGAGUCGGCCUGCGCGGAAGAUGUAACGGGGCUAAACCAUGCACCGAAGCUGCGGCAGCGACGCUGAUGCGUUGUUGGGUAGGGGAGCGUUCUGUAAGCCUGUGAAGGUGUGCUGUGAGGCAUGCUGGAGGUAUCAGAAGUGCGAAUGCUGACAUAAGUAACGAUAAAGCGGGUGAAAAGCCCGCUCGCCGGAAGACCAAGGGUUCCUGUCCAACGUUAAUCGGGGCAGGGUGAGUCGACCCCUAAGGCGAGGCCGAAAGGCGUAGUCGAUGGGAAACAGGUUAAUAUUCCUGUACUUGGUGUUACUGCGAAGGGGGGACGGAGAAGGCUAUGUUGGCCGGGCGACGGUUGUCCCGGUUUAAGCGUGUAGGCUGGUUUUCCAGGCAAAUCCGGAAAAUCAAGGCUGAGGCGUGAUGACGAGGCACUACGGUGCUGAAGCAACAAAUGCCCUGCUUCCAGGAAAAGCCUCUAAGCAUCAGGUAACAUCAAAUCGUACCCCAAACCGACACAGGUGGUCAGGUAGAGAAUACCAAGGCGCUUGAGAGAACUCGGGUGAAGGAACUAGGCAAAAUGGUGCCGUAACUUCGGGAGAAGGCACGCUGAUAUGUAGGUGAAGUCCCUCGCGGAUGGAGCUGAAAUCAGUCGAAGAUACCAGCUGGCUGCAACUGUUUAUUAAAAACACAGCACUGUGCAAACACGAAAGUGGACGUAUACGGUGUGACGCCUGCCCGGUGCCGGAAGGUUAAUUGAUGGGGUCAGCGCAAGCGAAGCUCUUGAUCGAAGCCCCGGUAAACGGCGGCCGUAACUAUAACGGUCCUAAGGUAGCGAAAUUCCUUGUCGGGUAAGUUCCGACCUGCACGAAUGGCGUAAUGAUGGCCAGGCUGUCUCCACCCGAGACUCAGUGAAAUUGAACUCGCUGUGAAGAUGCAGUGUACCCGCGGCAAGACGGAAAGACCCCGUGAACCUUUACUAUAGCUUGACACUGAACAUUGAGCCUUGAUGUGUAGGAUAGGUGGGAGGCUUUGAAGUGUGGACGCCAGUCUGCAUGGAGCCGACCUUGAAAUACCACCCUUUAAUGUUUGAUGUUCUAACGU